AUUGAACGCUGGCGGCAGGCCUAACACAUGCAAGUCGAGCGAGCGGCGGACGGGUGAGUAAUGUAUGGGAAACUGCCUGCUAGAGGGGGAUAACUACUGGAAACGGUAGCUAAUACCGCAUACUAUCGGAUGAACCCAUAUGGGAUUAGCUAGUAGGUGGGGUAAAGGCUCACCUAGGCGACGAUCCCUAGCUGGUCUGAGCGGAUGACCAGCCACACUGGAACUGAGAAACGGCCCAGACUCCUACGGGAGGCAGCAGUGGGGAAUAUUGCACAAGGGGCGCAAGCCUGAUGCAGCAAUGCCGCGUGUGUGAAGAAGGCCUUAGGGUUGUAAAGGACUUUCAGCGGGGAGGCGUUACCCGCAGAAGAAGCACCGGCUAACUCCGUGCCAGCAGCCGCGGUAAUUC
rnacentral:rRNA from 1 species